GCGGAUGUGGCGGAACUGGUAGACGCACCAGAUUUAGGUUCUGGCGCCGCAAGGCGUGGAGGUUCGAGUCCUCUCAUCCGCACCA
rnacentral:tRNA from 3 species